rnacentral:rRNA from 1 species
GGGAGCUUGCUCCUGGGUGACAAGCGGCGGACGGGUGAGUAAUGUCUGGGAAACUGCCUGAUGGAGGGGGAUAACUACUGGAAACGGUAGCUAAUACCGCAUAACGUCGCAAGACCAAAGAGGGGGACCUUCGGGCCUCUUGCCAUCACAUGUGCCCAGAUGGGAUUAGCUAGUAGGUGGGGUAACGGCUCACCUAGGCGACGAUCCCUAGCUGGUCUGAGAGGAUGACCAGCCACACUGGAACUGAGACACGGUCCAGACUCCUACGGGAGGCAGCAGUGGGGAAUAUUGCACAAUGGGCGCAAGCCUGAUGCACCCAUGCCGCGUGUAUGAAAAAAGCCUUCUGGUUGUAAAGUACUUUCACCGGGGAGGAAAGUGUUGAGGUUAAUAACC